CCUACGGGGCGCAGCAGUGAGGAAUAUUGGUCAAUGGGCGGGAGCCUGAACCAGCCAAGUCGCGUGAGGGAAGACGGUCCUAUGGAUUGUAAACCUCUUUAGGCGGGGAGCAAUGCCGGGCACGCGUGCCCGGAGGGAGAGUACCCGCAGAAUAAGCAUCGGCUAACUCCGUGCCAGCAGCCGCGGUAAUACGGAGGAUGCGAGCGUUAUCCGGAUUUAUUGGGUUUAAAGGGUGCGUAGGCGGUUUUUUAAGUCUGAUGUGAAAGCCUUCGGCUUAACCGGAGGUGUGCAUUGGAAACUGGAAG
rnacentral:rRNA from 1 species